rnacentral:rRNA from 1 species
GACGAACGCUGGCGGCGUGCCUAAUACAUGCAAGUUGAGCGCUGAAGGGUGGUACUUGUACCAACUGGAUGAGCAGCGAACGGGUGAGUAACGCGUGGGUAAUCUGCCUUUGAGCGUGGGAUAACUUUGGGAAACGAAUGCUAAUACCGCAUAAAAUCUUGAACCACAAGGUUCAAUUUUGAAAGAUGCAUUUGCUGUACCCAAUAGAUAUCUCGGGUUGUCUUUACUAGUUGGUGAGGGAAAGGCCCUCCAAAGGGAAGAUACAUAGCCGAACUGAGAGGGUGAUCGGCCACCUUGGGACUGAGACACGGCCCAAACUCCUACGGGAGGCAGCAGGAGGGAAUCUUCCGCAAUGGACGAAAGUCUUGCCGAGCAACGCCGCGGGAGGGAAGAAGGUUUUCGGAUCGUAAAAAUCCGUUGGUAGGGAAGAAAGUUGGUGAGAGUGGAAAGCUCAUCAAGUGACGGUAACUAACCAGAAAGGGACGGCUAACUACGUG